GUGCUCACUUUGGCAGCGCAUAUACUAAAAUUGGAACGAUACAGAAAAGAUUAGCAUGGCCUACGUGAACUGGAUGCGAAUCUGAACCCUUUGCAAAAAUGUUU